AAGUCAAAGUUGUGAUACUAAAGAGCUGUACACAUAUUCAGAAACAAGUCUUAAGAGUUACAGAACUGGAUCUAGGAUCAGGUCCCAUAUUCACAAACAAGUCUCAGAGUAACAGAACUGGAUCUAGGAUCAGGUCCCAUAUUCACAAACAAGUCUCAGAGUAACAGAACUGGAUCUAGGAUCAGGUCCCAUAUUCACAAACUGGAUCUAGGAUCAGGUCCCAUAUUCACAGUCUCAGAGUAACAUAACUAGAUCUAAGAUCAGGUCCCAUAUUCACAAA